rnacentral:rRNA from 1 species
UACGUAGGGUGCAAGCGUUGUCCGGAAUUAUUGGGCGUAAAGAGCUCGUAGGCGGUCUGUCGCGUCGGCUGUGAAAACCCGGAGCUCAACUCCGGGCCUGCAGUCGAUACGGGCAGACUGGAGUUCGGCAGGGGAGACUGGAAUUCCUGGUGUAGCGGUGAAAUGCGUAGAUAUCGGGAGGAACACCUGUGGCGAAAGCGGCGCACUGGACCAUAACUGACGCUGAUGCGCGAAAGCUAGGGGAGCAAACAGG